AAAAGCCCGCUCGGCCCGAAGUCGCUAGCGCUCCACCAAUCCCUCGCACGCCUCCUCCUCUCCCCAAUCCCCUCUCGUUUGGCGGCCUCCUCCGCUCCCAGCCGCCGCCUCCGCUCCGCGCCCGCCCUCCGCGCCCCCGCUCCGCGCCCGUCCUCCGCGCCCGCCCUCGUCGCCCGCCGCCGCCUCCAGCCGCCGCCUCGCCAUCCUCCCGGCCAUCCUCAGCGCCGACGCCGCCUCCUCCUUAGCGCCGCCGCCCCUGCCUCCUCAGCGCCGCCGCCCCUGCUUCCUCUCCGCGCCGCCUCUACCGACUGCGCGCUUCAGCCGUCGGCGGCCCAUGGGAAGAGCACGAGAGGGUGUGACAUGGAGAAGGGGGCGCACAGGAUGGCGACCAUGGAGGGGGCCGCGCGGGGUGGCCGAGCAGCAGCCGUUGGCGGCGGCCUCCUCUGCCCCGAGCGGGGAGGUGGUGUGGCCUUCAUCGUCGAUUAGCAGCAGGUUAUACUGCAUCAACAUCUCGUGAGGCCAUGGAACAAGCUGGGCACUCCGUGAGGAGACAACUUUCAUGGGCAAAUAAGGACAGGAAUCAGAGGCUGGCAGCAUGGGGUUAGAUGCCACAACACGUAGUGUUCUUUUCUUCUUAUGUAUACAUCUUUGUUUGGUUUCUUAGCAGGAAUUUCAGCUAUACCAGGAUGUAGACCACAAAUAAUCUUGUAAAAUUGUCACUGUAUGAUUAAUCUUGUUUGAUUCAUCUUGUGAACAGACAAAAAGCAAUUCAAACAGCUUGUAUUUCAUCGGAACAGCAGAUCAACAUGGUAAGUUUGUCUUGUUUCUAUCUGUUCAACUCAUUAGGAAAGCCCUAUAAUCCUGUACAGAGUACCAAAAAGAGAUUAUACUAAGUAUAUGACACCCAAAGAAUUGCUCUCUCUAGUGAUGGGGACAACUAAGCCUGAGAAAGAAGUAUCUCUAGGCAAUGAGCGUUGGUCCUGCUUCAUUAAGUAGAAUUAAUAAUUCAGAAAUACUUCGUACUGAUACCGCUGCAGCGUCGCUAUCUUCAGCAGCGACAAAUUAGAAUUGAGAAGGGAUUUUUGAAGAUAUAUGUAUAUAAAUAUGUUCUUCGGUUCUGGAGCGAUUCACAAUGAUUUGAUGCUCCGGUUCUAAUUUUAGUUCAUAUUUUGGACAGUAGAAUAUAUAGCACCAGCAUUGUAUUUGUGGAGGUUCUAAGGCCAGAUUCAUAUUUCCAAUAGUGCUAGGCAUAUAUCCUUUAUGGGACAAGAUUAGUCUCAAGUUUUUAUUCCACGCAUUGUUAGGCUUUGUAGCCAUAAUUUGCUGUGAAAGAUCAAAUCAGCUGGAUGGUGCAAUAUUAUGACUCAUAGCGAUUUGAGUUAUUGCCCGUCAGAUCUCUCCUCAAAACCGAUGCUAGGUAUUUCUGGAUUCCCAGUUUUGAAGUGCUCGGGAGUUUGUUACAUUGCUCAAGACCCAUAUACUUCAAACUGAUGCUAGGUAUUGUUUUUUGUACUGCCUGUUCUGAAUCAUCUCCACCUCUGUUCUGCUCACCGGUCCUCUCCAUUUCACAAUAUAUUGUCAAAGUCAAUGUGCAGUUUUGCUAUGUAGCCUCUCUGAUCAGCAAGAUAAUUUAAGGCAAUAUUGUUAGAGAAACUGUCUAAACUGAAAUGAGCAUAGUUUCUCUCAACCAUUUCCUAUUUAGACCAGUGUACAAAGAGAGACCAAAGUUUGACACCGGAAAAGUUAAUGCUGAUUAAUCAGACCAUAUUCUCAGUUAAAUGAAAUACCAUGAAUUUCUGUUUUACUCUGAAAUUUAACAAAUGUAAAAGAGAAAGUUCCUGAGAUAUCAUGGGCUAUGUGAUGCUUGAAACAAAAUAAUAGUUGUGUGCUGUAAUCUAAAACAUUUUUUUGCAGGGAUAUAUCUGAAACAUUUUCUUGCAGGAACUUUUGUACAUAUACAUAUCUACUUCUUGAGUGUGCCCCGUAAAGAAAGCCUCAAUGCUUGUGAUCCCUUUACCUUCUUACUUUGUUGUUGCUCUUCCCAGAUUAUUUCCAUAAAAACACACUGUUUCUUAUAUUUUUAUUUAUGUAACUUAUUCUGUGACUGGUGCGUGCUGAAGAGCAUGUUGCGUGACCAUUUGUGAGAGCAGCAACAACAAUGAAAUUCUUACCGGCAGAAAGAGAUUGACAACCUCCAGUUAUCAUAUAUGUCAAUUAUAUGCUUUCUUUCGACUCAUGUAAACAUCUUUAAGCUACUGAAUCAUGUGUUGUAUUGAACACUCAGGAUUGGCUUCGUUGUUGACUUUAUAGAUUCCCAAGUUAUUACUUGCCAUGAACUGACAAUUUUUACCUUUUGUAUGCAAGGAUUAUUAUUUGCUCCAGAAUUUUGAUGGCCUAUAGUUACUCCACAUUGAGGUAGGGAAUUUUUGACAUGUUUCUUUCUAUAUGUAUCAAGCAAAUUUCAUGAGUAUUUGCAUUUAUAUAUGUAGCUGAUGGGUUCUCAGUCUCGAUGUCAGUUGAGUUAUUCCUCGGGGAACUUUCAGUGCAGCUUAGUUCAAAUGGAAUGCAGAUUUGGAUUAAAGGGUGGCUUUGUUGAAUGAAUGCAUGGUUAGUUAAUAUUCUUCAAAUGGAAUGCAGAUUUGGAUUAAAGGGUGGCUUUGUUGAAUGAAUGCAUGGUUAAUUAAUAUCUCCACUUUCUGGUUGAAUUAUGUUGUUUCCAAAAUCUACACCAUCAAAUUUAUUUUAGAUUAUGACUCACAACAGGACCAACUCUUUUUCUAAAUCAGGAGCUUUUUUCCCCUUAUAUACAUAGACUGUCAGGCUAAGGCGUCAGGUUACAGUUAUAUAUUUCGCUUGGUUACCUCAAUAUUGUAACUGAAAACUCGACCAGCUUUGUAAACCAGUGGAUUAUUUCUGUUAGACAUAGGAUUUCAAACGAAGGUGCCAGGGUAUAGUCGCUUAUUUGGCUUGGUGACUGUCUUUACGGUCUUCAUGGUUCAUCUAUCAUGUUUAGAUAGUCGAGUUCAGACAAUGAUGAUUGAUAAAAGGAUAGUGAAAUCCUGUUUGGGUGUUCCCGUAUGCCAAAUAGUACAAGUGCCAUAAGGGUAGUGCAAGUGAAUAAGGGUAUAUGAAAUUUCUUUUCCCUAGAAACUAUUAUCUUCUGUUGGCGAGAGCACCAAGCCUUUUAGUUAUUAUUUUUUUAAAAAAAGUAAAUGACAACAUAUAAGCAUCUAGGUUUUCCCACUUCAAGCCUAAGAAUGGCAGUCGAUAGACCUUGCAAAUUUGAGUUUUGAUGGUAUAGCUCUAUAUUGCCAAAUUUACUCAAUAUAUUGUAUUCAAUACAAAUCAUGCAACCUCUAACUCCGUAUUCAUUGCACAUUUCCUUUUUCAUGAAGCUGGUAUUAGUCAUCUAUGUGUCAGAACGAGUAGGGAGGUUUUAUUGUUAGAUGAUGAGAAUGACUGCGGUUAUAUCAUCAUAGUGUUUUAGUCUGUAAGCCUUGGUCCAAGUGUGUCGCGUUCUGGAUUCAAUGAAAUUGCUCACCGUAUUUUUUCUAUGGGAUUGCUCACCGUAUUUGUCCAUGGGAUUGCUCACCUGUUUGGCACACUUGGUUUGCUGUCCCGUUUGUAGUUUUGUGUGAUUUAUCCUAAUUGGCAUUGUUUUGUGAAACCUAAAUAAUGUAUUAUCAUGUUGGAAGCUAAUUUUUUAUCACCGUUAUACAAAAUUUAUAUUGGUACGAGCUUCACGGGAUCGUGCGCCAAGGCGCACAUAAAUGCAGAAUUUUAGCGUAGAAUUAUUCAUCGGAAUUACUUCCACGACCUAUUAUACUAGGUAUCUUAUGCAUUUAAUUCUUGCCCUUUCUAUUUUUGGCCACGGAUCUCAUAGGAAGCGUGUUCGCUGAUGCUGGCUAUUUUCAGGCUGCGGAGAUGACUUUGUACAAUAUGAGACACUCGUGGCGAAAUGUGGCAACCUUGUGCAAACCUCUUAGCACUAAAUAUGGCCAAGAUGCAUCAUCAUUUAGGCUUAAUUUCAUAUUUAUUGUCAUCUUCUUUAGCAUGAGUUUGUUGUUCUGGUUGGUUCACACCGAUAUGCUCUAUUAUUUUUUCAGCAACCGAGAUGAUUCUUGCUGCUUGCCGAUGCUUAAAUGACAUACUGCGAUUGGUGCAUAUCUCUUAACGGCCUAUUUUUAUAUACCAUUAUCAUUUCAUGGAUUAUGUAUGAAAGCUUUAGAUGUCAUUUAUGUUUAGCAGUCAAGCUGUAGCAGUCGGCAACCUAGCAGCCUCUAUCUACGAGCUGCAAGGCGUCGAACUGCUCCGCCUUCAAAGGACCAAGUUGAUUAGUACAAUGGUACGUACAGCAAUGAUGGUACAUUCUACAAGUGCAGUGUCCCCAACAGAUAGGACUUUGGACUGGCAACCUGCAGUACCGCUUAUCCUUCACACAUUUACUUGCUUUUCCCUAUGUUGUACUACUAAAUUAUGAUGUGUCUUCUCUAUGUGUUUGUAGAUAUCAUACUUUGUUUGUAAUUAAGGUUGUUUUAUCUAAACUUCAUUCUAUUGACUUUGUUUGUGAAACCUAAGAAUCAUAUUAUCAUUUUUCAACCUAAUUUUUAUUUAUUUUAUAUACAUUGUUCAUCGGUAUGAGUUACACGGGGUCGUGCGCCAAGGCGCACAUCUAAAUCUAGUUAGACUAGCUAGCUCCACCUCUUCUAUUUUUUUUAUUAUGCUUGUGUUGAUUUUGUUGGCAUUCGGCUAGCUAACUACUAUGUUUCUGUACCUAUAUAGGUAGAUUGUGUUGAUUUUGUUAGCAUUAGCCAUCGAUAGAGAUCAAGGUUCCCAGAUUUCGUCCGAGAGGCAGCAGCGGGAGGGUCGAGCUAUUUUUCAUAUGAAAGAGUGGUAAUUUUAUGUCAGAUCUUAAAGUUGGCAGUAGACUGGAUCCAAAUGAGGCUUGCGAAGAAAUUAAACUUUCCCAUCAAAUACUUACCUGCACCAUUUGAUUUUCUUCCUUGCAUCAUCGGAACAUUGUAGUGGGGACAUCGCUUUACAGUGCUUCCUUCAGUUAUUAUACAACAACUUCCGUUAUUAUUCAUUAGAUUUGACGCUUCGCGGCAAGAUUUGGGUAUGAUUUGAUUGUGGGAUAUUAUGGAUAUUACAGAUUAUCCUUACCUUUGUUGUUGAUCCUAUAUUGGCCAUUAGACACUCACUCUAGAGGCACCGCAAUCCCCACGUAAAGGCUCUUCCUAUUUUCCAAUUAAUAUUCUUACACUUAUUUCCCUUCUUCAUUUACAUGAUUACUUAUGACCCUUAGAUCUAAGGGUUAAGAAUGCUUUGAUAUGUUUGGACCACAUGUAUUGUAUUUUAGUGAACGGGGAGUUUUACUCCAUUUUAGGUAAUUAUUCCAGUUUUGAGCUUUUUGUCAUAUUGCAGUUUUCUUGAGAGAUCCAGCAGUGCUGACUUUAUACUGUGAGCCAAGUGCACCUUAUUUACAGAGAUAAAUAGAUAUUUGUUUUGCUGCAAAGAGUAAUUAUUUGAACAUAAAGAGGGCAUGCAUGCUUGUGUGUGAGGUAAGAUCAGAAUUGAUUCUGGCUGAUGAAUAUUCAAUUGAAUUUUGCUGUUAAUGGAUCUGCAGUUAUUUUUUAGUUGUAGAUGAGUGUCGUAGUUGACAAGUAGGGAAGAUUAUAUCACAUAACCAUAAAUUUGAGAUUUGAUUGUCAUUCUUUUCUUUCAUCCCAUUUAUCAUGGUACCAAUUCAUUCAGUAUAAACAUGUUUGGUGAUGUAGAAAAAGCAUCCAAUGUCAGUCAGUUUUGCAGCAUGAAAGUCACCGCUUCAUGUAUACGAGUUUGGCUUAGUAUGUAGAGCUUAUCGUGGUCACUGAAUUAGAAAGGAGUCCUAUGGUGUAGUAUUCAACUUAAAUCUAUGUACUGAAGUCCGUGGUGGUGCUACGAAUUUGCAACUCGGUAUUCAUAUUGCCAAAACCAUUGCUGUUUUUGCCAAAGUUAUCUUUGUUUUGCUAAAAUCAUCACUUUGUCAGCUGCUGAAAUUAACUCAUUUAUCUGUGGAAUUGGGAUGACAAGGAGGCAAAGGCAUGAACAAUGGUGAAGAAAUGUUUUACAUGAACUGCGCUUGGGGCCACGACUGCAAAAUCUUUGUUUCUGCUACUGAUUGGCCCUUGAUAUUCUUCAUGUGCAGUGACAAUAGCUUGAUUUGUGUUGACUGUCUUUAAUAUCAUAUCAUAGAAUAACUUAAUAAAAAAGCUUACCGAACCAUGGUUAUUCUGCAUCCCUAAAGGUUUAGCAUUCAGUUCCUGCUGCAAACCAUGGGGCAACAGUCAGCGAAUAGAAAAUUCGGAGUGGUAAAGUACUUGCACUAAACUUUCCAGUAGUACAACUCUUGAUUACUAGAGCUAUGAAUGUUAAUGGUGUUUGUAAUAAGUUAUCUAAUUUUACAAGAAACAACUGCUUGAUUACAAAUCUGUCUUGGUUACUUAUUUCUAGGCUUGCAGCGUUAAUGGUGUUUGUAAUAAGUAAUGCAUUCCUAAUUAGAGAUAUGAGCUUUUGGAUUUCAUAUGGGCACGUAGUGCAACUUCAAGUGCAUCUGGAUGCUUUUGUUUGGUCGUGUGCACACAACCUGCUAUGAAAUGGCUGAAGAAAACAAUUCCGCAUCUUGCACGAAUUAUUCCAGGUGAUGAAAGAGGAAAUAUACUUAGGAAGGAAAUGAGCAAUUACUGCGGCAUCUCUUAUUUUGAGAACACACAUCCGGUUCAGAUUUGGCAUGUCAUGUACUCCUGUCCCCUGUCUCAAGCAACAAAUAUGGUGGCGCAUAUCUGAACUGAGCAAGACCGAGCACCGAAUAUGAUUUGGUCUGUCCUGUACUCUUAAUGCUCAUCUGCUCAUGCACAGGGAAUCUCAAUGACCAUGCCCAUGUAAUCUUUCAUUAAAGAUUUCUUCUAACUCGGAUGCGUAAUCUUCCGGUUUUUAGAGACAUGUCCCACUCAUACAAGAUUAAUAAAUAUUUUCAGUUUUUAGGGGAACAUCGAAGAAAAACAGAAAAAAGUGCUGGCUACCAAAGGAAGACCACGUGUGCUCAAAACAUGCUCCUUGCAAUUGUGGGGGCUGAAUAAAAUUCUGGCUAUACAUGCAUCCAAAGACAUGGACUAUUUUAAAUGGGUUCUCAGUUCCGAAAUCAGCUCCUCUCUUGAUGUAUUGUUAUGCUAUUUCCGCACUGUUGUAAACAUUUUGAGUAGCUCUCAUCGAACAGCUUAUCUCGCACUUUACACUGUUGGGUCCUCUCUCAUGAUGACUUCAGAAGUAAUUAUGUUAGACGUGGCUGCCGCUUGACAGUGCUUUAUAUUGUUGCUUGGCUAAAAAGGAUUAGAGGUACAAUAUUUUUUUUCAUAUGGUUAGUAUAUUCUAAAUGAUACAAUACCAAAAAUACUUUACCCAGCGACUGACUAUGUGAAAGGUUGGGUGGCAUGCAGACUGAUGGACUUAUUUUCUGACUAUUAUCAUUGAUUUUUACAAAUGCUUGAUGCAUUUUGGAUGACAGGUUUUGAGAAACCAACUGUAACAUAUUCCUCUAUUUAUAUGGCUGUAUAUAAGCGUUUGCUACUAUGUUCGUGAUUUUGUGUGUUUUGUUUAUCCUAAUUUCAUCCUAUUGACUUCGUUUUGAAAAUCAUUUAGCCACGUUAUACAAUGUGUAAAUUGUCACCAAUUCCACGGGAUCGUGCGC